rnacentral:rRNA from 1 species
UACGAAGGGGGCUAGCGUUGCUCGGAAUUACUGGGCGUAAAGGGCUCGUAGGCGGCCAACUAAGUCGGACGUGAAAUCCCCAGGCUCAACCUGGGAACUGCGUCUGAUACUGGAUGGCUUGAAUCCGGGAGAGGGAUGCAGAAUUCCAGGUGUAGCGGUGAAAUGCGUAGAUAUCUGGAGGAACACCGGUGGCGAAGGCGGCAUCCUGGACCGACACUGACGCUGAGGAGCGAAAGCCAGGGGAGCAAACGGG